UACAACUCUCGAAAAUUUCAAUUGGGUGAAUAACUCCUUAUUCCAAUCCAUCAUAUGGAUUAUUCCCAACUCUUGCUUCUAAACAUAUAUAAGAAAAUUAUAAUCAAGUUUGACUCAUCGUUUUAGCAGUUGGAUAUUACAAUUAUCCCAUCGCACCUUAACUAAUACAAAACAUGCACCUCGCGUAGGCGAAACCUACAUUAUUCGAUACCAGUCUUGAUGAGUGCUAAAACUUGGAAAGCAAACAUAUAUAAUAUUCUCAUAAUUUGUUUAGUUAAGUUUGACCCAUUGUUUUAACAGUUGGAUAUUACAAUUAUCCCAUCGCACCUUACUAAUAUAUAGAUCAUGCACCUCGCGUAGGCGAAACCUACAUUAUCCAUUACUAGUCUUGAUGAGUGUUAAAACUUGGAAAGCAUAAACUUAAUAUUUAAUUUGAGGGAAUUGCAAUUUUUCUGAUCUCACCGGCUUGUUU
rnacentral:lncRNA from 1 species